UACGUAGGGGGCAAGCGUUGUCCGGAAUCAUUGGGCGUAAAGAGCGUGUAGGCGGCCUGGUAAGUCCGCUGUGAAAGUCCAGGGCUCAACCCUGGAAUGCCGGUGGAAACUGUCAGGCUCGAGUCCGGAAGAGGCGAGUGGAAUUCCUGGUGUAGCGGUGAAAUGCGCAGAUAUCAGGAGGAACACCGGUGGCGAAGGCGGGUCUCUGGGCAGUAACUGACGCUGAGGAGCGAAAGCGUGGGGAGCGAACAGG
rnacentral:rRNA from 1 species